UACGUAGGUGGCAAGCGGUGUCCGGAAUUAUUGGGCGUAAAGCGCGCGCAGGCGGCCUCUUAAGUCUGAUGUGAAAGCCCCCGGCUCAACCGGGGAGGGCCAUUGGAAACUGGGAGGCUUGAGUAUAGGAGAGAAGAGUGGAAUUCCACGUGUAGCGGUGAAAUGUGUAGAGAUGUGGAGGAACACCAGUGGCGAAGGCGACUCUUUGGCCUAUAACUGACGCUGAGGCGCGAAAGCGUGGGGAGCAAACAGG
rnacentral:rRNA from 1 species